CAAUAGUUGGCGUAGAGAGCGUAUAUGAUUUCGGGUCAUAAGGGGAACAUGGAGUUUACUAUUUA
rnacentral:tRNA from 1 species